AAAGACAAUUAUGAGAGGACUGAUGAAUGGACAAUGAAGAACUAAACUAUAUUUUUAUUUGAAUUGAAUGAUUUCAAACACAAAAUAUAGGGUUAGUUUAUCCAUUUUUAACAAUCAGUUUGCAUUGUAUUUGUCAUGACACAAAUGGCAAAUCGUAUUUAUUUAGUGAAAGACUAAUCCUUCCAAUGCACAAGUGGAGGGAUUUUUUC
rnacentral:tRNA from 18 species